CCCAGAAUCCCCUUCACAUUGGAGAUGUUCUGCGGUUUGCUCUCCCAGAUACCCUACUGAGAAGAUACGCAGUUCUCCUAUGAAGGCCCAAGGGAAGUGAAGAUGCAUUCCAGAACACAAAAUGGAUUUCAGUCCUUUGUUGGCUUCUCGAAUCCUGACAGCACAGGCAAGACUUUAAGAGCUGACCUGUCAAGGGGGAUACUGUCAUCUUGGCAGAUGUCAGAAGAAAGUGAGAAGGGAGAACUAGCAUCUCAU